UGAAAAAAGCGCCAGUGAAAUACCACUACUCCUGAUCUUGUCUUACUUACUCCGUUAGGCCGAAAUAAGAAACGGAGUGAAAAAAACUCUAUGUUUCUUUUUCUUGUUGCGUUAAGGUGAUUUAGUUCGCUGAUUCGGUACGGAGGACAGUGUCAGGUGGGGAGUUUGGCUGGG
rnacentral:rRNA from 1 species